rnacentral:sRNA from 1 species
GCCGCUCUGUUGUCCAGAGUUAUUAAAUGAAAUAUCCAGUUGUAAAAGUAAAACUCUCAGAAUCUCUUCGUUAUUGUUGUCAUCCUCAGUGUUUCCCUAAGCUUCAUCGAUACAUUAAAUAAUUCCAGCCCAUCAGCGCAUCGCAACUUCGCGACAAUUUUAAAUUUAUAUAAGGGACACAACAUGUCUAACAAAGUAAACGGCACAGUAAAAUGGUUUAACGAAGAGAAAGGUUUCGGCUUCCUAGCUCAAGAAAAUGGCGGUGCUGACGUAUUCGUUCACUUCCGUGCUAUCGCGUCUGAAGGUUUCAAAACUCUAACAGAAGGCCAAAAAGUGUCUUUUGAAGUAGAGCAAGGCCAGAAAGGUCUUCAAGCUGCAAACGUUGUAGCUCUAUAAGAUUUUAUUGAUGAAAGCGGCAUCAUUAACCGCUUUCAUCUU